rnacentral:rRNA from 1 species
GACGAACGCUGGCGGCGUGCCUAAUACAUGCAAGUAGAACGCACAGUUUAUACCGUAGCUUGCUACACCAUAGACUGUGAGUUGCGAACGGGUGAGUAACGCGUAGGUAACCUGCCUGGUAGCGGGGGAUAACUAUUGGAAACGAUAGCUAAUACCGCAUAAUAUUAAUUAUUGCAUGAUAAUUGAUUGAAAGAUGCAACUGCAUCACUACCAGAUGGACCUGCGUUGUAUUAGCUAGUAGGUGAGGUAACGGCUCACCUAGGCGACGAUACAUAGCCGACCUGAGAGGGUGAUCGGCCACACUGGGACUGAGACACGGCCCAGACUCCUACGGGAGGCAGCAGUAGGGAAUCUUCGGCAAUGGGCGAAAGUCUGACCGAGCAACGCCGCGUGAGUGAAGAAGGUUUUCGGAUCGUAAAGCUCUGUUGUAAGAGAAGAACGGGUGUGAGAGUGGAAAGUUCACACUGUGACGGUAUCUUACCAGAAAGGGACGGCUAACUACGUG